rfam:Candidatus Levybacteria bacterium CG2_30_37_29 cg2_3.0_scaffold_430_c, whole genome shotgun sequence.
UAUUUUCAUGAUAAUGCCAAUAGUGGAUGCCUAGGAAGUGUUGACCGAAGAAGGACGCAUCUAGACUCGCGAAACUCACCGGGAAGUGGUCUAAGACAUUUUGAUCCGGUGGUGUCCGAAUGGGGAAACCCACUCCGCUGCAAAUGCGGAGUAGCCUUUUAUAAAACCGUUCCGAGUAAUCGGGGUGGAUAGUAAAAUGGCUGGGAACCUGGGGAACUGAAACAUCUCAGUACCCGGAGGAAAAGAAAUCACAGAGAUUCCGCCAGUAGCGGCGAGCGAAAACGGAACAGCCCAAACCACCCUCCGCAAGGAGGAGUGGUGUUGUAGGAUUGCUGACUUAAAUGUAUCAGGAGUAAGAAACGGGAAGGGUAGAAGAAGGUGCCGGAAUGUACCGCCAAAGAAGGUGAAAGCCCUGUAUUUAAAAUUUUUCCCGCUCCUGGCAAUAUCCUGAGUACCAUGGGGCACGAUUAAACCCUGUGGGAAUCUGGGGCGACCAAGCUCCAAGGCUAAACAUCAACACUUACCGAUAGUGAACUAGUACCGUGAGGGAAAGGUGAAAAGCACCCCGGGAGGGGAAUGAAAUAGUACCUGAAACUGUUGGCUGACAAACAGACAAAGCUUGUGCUUUGCACAAGGUAGUUUAUAAAGUAGAAAGUUUUUAAAGUUUGUAAAGUAUUUUUUUUAUGAACUUUAUAACAUUACGAACUUUAAACUAUCUCGCGCAGAGCGCGAGUGAUGUUGUGCCUAUUGAAGAAUGAGCCAGUGAGUUUUUGUUGUCUUACCGUCUAACCAAGUAUCUUGGGAAGGCACAGUGAAAGCAAGCCUUAAAUGGGCGUUUUUUUAUUGAGGCAACAAAAGACCCGAAACCAGGUGAGCUAACCAUGAGCAGGUUGAAUGCCGAUGAAAAUCGGCAGGAGGACCGCACUCGUAUCCGUAGCAAUGGGUUGAGAUGACUUGUGGUUAGGGGUGACAUGCCAAACGAACCUGGAGAUAGCUGGUUCUCCCCGAAAUAUAUUUUGGUAUAGCCUUUAUUUGUAACCAUUGGGGGUAGAGCACUGAAUGGUCUCUUGUGAGGAAACUUAUAAGGAUCAAUCAAACUCCGAAUACCAGUGGUGUUAAGAUAGAGAGUCAGACUUGCGGCGCUAAGGUCGUGGGUCGAAAGGGAAACAGCCCGGACUCCCAUCUAAGGCCUCUAAAUUCAAGCUAAGUUGUUAAGAAAGUCAUUGUCCUAAGACACCUAGGAGGUUGGCUUAGAAGCAGCCAUCCUUUAAAGAAAGCGUAACAGCUCACUAGUCGAUUUUGGACGGUGGCGUCGAAAAUGAUCGAGGAUCAAGCUUGAUGCCGAAGAUGGAGAUCCCGAGCAAUCGGGAUGGUAGGGGAGCGUUUUAAGUGCAGUGAAGCUGAACUGUAAGGUUUGGUGGAGCGCUUAGAAGUGAGAAUGCUGGCAUGAGUAGCGAUUAUGCGCCUGAGAACGGCGCACGCCGAAUACCCAAGGUUUCCUCCGCAAUGUAAUUCAGCGGAGGGUUAGUCGGCUCCUAACGGUGGCCCGUGAUAAAUGCGGGAUAGCCGGAUGGACAACUCGUUAAAAUUCGAGUACAGGGGUUGGUACGUUUCUCCGCAAGGAGAGUGACGAAAGUCAAUUACUUAGGGAUUUACUAGGUUGGAAAGGGUUGCCCCGAUUCGUUGGGGUUUAAGCUGCAAGAUAGUUUUGAUUGGAAAAUCCGUCAGAAUGUUUAAUCGAGCGGUUAUGACUAGUCCGAAAUCGCAAGAAAUUAGGACAAGAAUUUGACCUUCAGCCUACAAGAAAACAUCCAUAAGGAGUAUCAAGUCUUGCCGUACCGCAUUACCGACACAGGUGGGUUGGUCGAGUAGACCAAGGCGAUCGGGAGAAGAAUGUUCAAGGAACUCGGCAAAAAAUCUGGGCGUAACCUUUGGGAGAUGCCCUGGUCAGAUGUAGUGUCUGACCUUUAACAAAAGAGUGCUUGGCGACUGUUUAUCUAAAACACAGGUCCCUGCAAAGCCGAAAGGCAAAGUAUAGGGGCUGACACCUGCCCAGUGCCGGUAAGUCAAAAAUGGUGGAUGACCCCGAUUUAUCGGGAUAGUCUAUUAUUUAAGCUCCGGUGAACGGCAGCAGUAACUAUAAAGUUUUGUAGUUAUAAAAGUUGACUAUAUGCUGGAAACCCCGUACCGUCGUUUAUCAAAACGAACGGUUGAAGUAUCUGACUCUACUAUGAUAUUGUAUUAUAGUGAUAAUGAGUUCAGUGCGGACAAUCAGCAGGAAAGACUUGAGUAGAGAAAAACUAGGAUUUUUUCUCGCAGGAUUUGUUGAAGGAGAAGGAAGUUUCAAUGUUUCGUUGCGACGGAAGGCUGACUAUAAAGUGAGCUGGCAAGUCGUUAUGAGUUUUAAUGUUUCGCAAAAAGACCCAACGCUUUUGUAUUUAUUACAAAAAGAAUUGGGAUGCGGAAUUAUUAAAGUCAGAAAAAUUGAUAACCUUUAUUCAUACGAUACAACAAAUCCUAAGGAUAUAAUCCAAAAAGUUAUUCCAUAUUUUCAGAAAUAUCCUGUUAUAUCAAUUUCUAAGCAAAAAAACUUUGCCAUUUUUUGUGCAAUAGCGCAACUUAUGGAUAAGGGCGAGCAUAGAAACUUGAUUGGACUUAGGAAAAUAAUUGAACUUCGUGAAACAAUUAAUGAAGGCAAAGGAAGAACAAGAAAAUAUGGGAUAAAAGAUGUUUUUUCUACUUAGGAAUCCUCAGAGACUAUACGUCAACCUUUGGUUUAAACCAGAGAUGAUAUAGUCCGACCUCAUGGGCGACCAUGAGACUCCGUAUACAAUCGGAGCAUGUAACAAUGUGAACUGUUCUAUGGUAGCGAAGUUCCUUGUCGGGUGAGCAAAAAGCAAGCCCAUAUCGGCUUAUAACGGUGGAGCCCUAUCGCAAAAAGCGAGGGUAGUACCGUGGGAAGUCGUUCCGAUUUAAUCGGGAUUGACCCCGUAACGACUUGAUCUUUAAUAAGAUCAGAGGCAUAAUUAUAUUAUGCCUAAUACGCCGACAUCUGAUAGAAAUUCCAUCGGACAUUACCUUUCUGGUUAUGCCGAUGGGGAAGGAAGUUUUCUUGUAUCAUUUUCUCCAAGACUAAAGCUUUUAACUUCACUAGAAGUUCGCCCAAGUUUUUCUGUUUCACAGAACCAUGACAGAGCAGAAGUUCUUUAUUUGUUUAAAGAGUUUCUACAAUGUGGAACUGUUCGGAAAAACUCAAGCGACAGAACUUUUAAAUAUGAAGUAAGAAGCAUAAAAGAUUUAGUAGGUAAAGUAAUUACGCAUUUUAAAACAUAUCCACUUCUUUCCUCAAAGAGGAAAGAUUUUGAAGUUUUCAAGUCUGUCUGCCGUAUGGUAGAUAGACAAGAUCAUCUGAAGAAGAAUAUGUUAAAAGAAAUUGUCGAACUUUCCUAUCAAAUGAAUGGUUUUGGAGCAAGAAGAUACACAAAAGAAUUCAUCCUUUCCUCUAUAAGAUGAAGAUAUAGUCUACGCCUCAAGUAAUUGAGGGUAAUCGUGGAGUUCCGACCCGCACGAAAGGUAGAACGACCGAGCAACUGUCUUGAACAUUUACCCGGCGAAAUUGAGAUGGCUGUGAAGACGCGGCCUGGUUGUCCUUGGACAAAAAGACCCCGGGAGCUUUACUGUAGCUUGGCAUUUGCAAGCUUUUUUCAACUGUUUAGAAUAGGAGGGAGCGCUUUGCGCACAAGUGAAAUACCUCUCUUUGAAAUGAGUAAGCAUUACUUUUAUCCCGCACAAAAAUUCGGGAAAAGAACAGUGUCUGGUGGGCAGUUUGACUGGGGAGGUCGCCUCCUAAAGUGCAACGGAGGUGUACAAAGGUUGGCUUAGCGCGGACGGAAAUCGCGCUGAACGUGCAUAGGCAUAAGCCAGCUUGACUGUGAGAGUGACCACUCGAGCAGGUGCGAAAGCAGGUCUAAGUGAUCCUGCGCUCCUUAUUGGUCGGGGCGUAGCUUAACGAAUAAAAGCUACCCCGGGGAUAACAGGCUGAUCGCUCCCAAGCGUCCAUAGCGACGGGGCGGUUUGGCACCUUAUGUUUACAAACAUCGGGGCGCCUGUAGAGCAAUCUACAAGCCUGGUUUUGAUACGCAUUAGCUCAAUGCUAUCGGAAUAGAAUAUACUAGUCCAAAUCGGUGAAACCCUUCAGCGCUUAUGCAAGCGCUUCAGGGCAAUACCGAGAGUCACCCUUUUCGGUAAGAAUUAAAGUAUUUAGUUUGUUUUCAACUAAAAGUUGUUAAUAGAUUACGGUUUAGUUCGGUAGAAAAAAGGUGACUUGUAUCGACUGAUUCACGUUCAUUUGAGCGUGAUGAGAUAUGGAUUUUGUUUACAAAAAACAAAUAUAUAAUUCGUAUCAUACGGCUAGCACCGCUUGCACUAUGUGCAAGAAUUUUUAAUUUUUAAUUUUUAAUUUUUAUUGAAUUUUUAAUGUUUAAAACAUUUAGAUUUGAUUUAAAAUUUUAAAUUUCAAAUUUUGAUUUCUUCGUCUACAGACGAAGUGGUUGAAGGGAUAGUCAGGCCUUUUGGUAACAAGAGGAUUUACAAAAUACAAACAGAACAUAUGUGCAAGUUUUAGUCUUCUUGCAGAUAUACAGCUGGCAGCGAUGUCGGCUCAUCCUAGCGCGGAGGUGAAGAAGCUUCCAAGCGUCGGGCUGUUCGCCCGUUAAAAGGGUACGCGAGCUGGGUUCAGAACGUCGUGAGACAGUAGACCUAUAGUAAUAGACAUUUACUAUAUAAUGGGCUGUCCUCCUUCAAGCGUUUUGAACAAUAAGAGAAAAUUGAAGGUCUCGAUUAACAUCGGGAUAAAUCUAGCUAUAUGCUGGAAAGUCCGUUGAAUCUCAGACUACUUGACAAGCGAGUCUCCGUAGAGAUACGAUAACUCUAUGACAAGUAAAAAUGUUUUGAGUGCGGAUAAUCAGCAGGCAACAAAUAAAAGUAGUAUUUCUAAUGAAUAUUUUGUCGGCUUUACAGACGGAGAAGGCUGUUUUUAUGUGGGGUUUAGUAAAAGAAAUGACUUACCACUCAAGUGGCAAAUCAUAACUGAAUUUCAUGUAAGCCAAAAUCCAGGCGGCAAAAAUGUUUUAGAGGAAUUUAGUAAGAGACUUGGUUGUGGUUAUCUUAAACCAAACCAUGCAAAAAGCCUUGAUGAUAAAUCAUGGAUUUUAAUAGUGAAGAAUAGAAAUGACUUGUUGCAAAAAGUCAUCCCAUUUUUCAAAAAGAAUAAACUUUUUACAAGCAAAGAGAAAGAAUUCCAAGUAUUUGAAAAAGUGUUAGCUAUCAUAAAAGGUGGAAAACAUAUUCAAAAAGAAGGAUUCAAUGAAAUUGUAAAUCUUGUUUUUUCACUUACUAGAACAACAAAGAAACGAUAUUCACAGAAAGACUUACUUUUGUAAGGAGCCUCAGAGACUACAUGCUAGACACCACUUUUAUAAAAAAGUGGGGAAGAUAUAGUCCGAACUCCGAUGCAAAUCGGAGAGUGUGGUAGAAAUACUGCACCCCGCAAAAAUUUGCGUGGUAACAUAAUUGUCGGUCUCUAUCCAGGACAACCGUUUGAGAUUUGAGAGGAGUCGUCCUUAGUACGAGAGGACUGGGAUGAGGGAAUCCCUGGUGUGCCGAUUGUCCCCAAAAGGGGCAUCGUCGGGUAGCUAUAUUCCCAUGGGAUAACCGCUGAAAGCAUCUAAGUGGGAAGCCCACCUCAAGAUAAGAUCUCGUUAUAGAUUCCUGAAAGACCAUCAGGUUGAUAGGCAGCACGUGUAAGACGGGUGACCGUUUCAGCGAAGCUGUACUAAUAAAUCGAAAGUGAAUAAAAA